rnacentral:rRNA from 1 species
GAUGAACGCUGGCGGCGUGCUUAAUACAUGCAAGUCGAACGAGGAGCCUUUGUAGUAAUACGGAGGAUUUCCUAGUGGCGAACGGGUGAGUAACGCGUUGGUGACCUGCCCCGAAGUGUGGGAUAACAGUCCGAAAGGAUUGCUAAUACCUCAUGUGGUCAUAGAGGUUAGAGGCUCUUUGACUAAAGCAGCAAUGCGCUUCGGGAGGGACCUGCGUCCCAUCAGCUAGUUGGUAGGGUAAUGGCCUACCAAGGCAAUGACGGGUAGGGGGCCUGAGAGGGUGGCCCCCCACAAUGGCACUGAAACACGGGCCAUACACCUACGGGUGGCAG